rnacentral:rRNA from 1 species
CGCGGCCUAUCAGCUUGUUGGUGAGGUAACGGCUCACCAAGGCGACGACGGGUAGCCGGCCUGAGAGGGUGACCGGCCACACUGGGACUGAGACACGGCCCAGACUCCUACGGGAGGCAGCAGUGGGGAAUAUUGCACAAUGGGCGCAAGCCUGAUGCAGCAACGCCGCGUGAGGGAUGACGGCCUUCGGGUUGUAAACCUCUUUUAGCAGGGAAGAAGCGAAAGUGACGGUACCUGCAGAAAAAGCACCGGCUAACUACGUGCCAGCAGCCGCGGUAAUACGUAGGGUGCAAGCGUUGUCCGGAAUUAUUGGGCGUAAAGAGCUCGUAGGCGGUUUGUCACGUCUGCUGUGAAAAUCCAAGGCUCAACCUUGGACUUGCAGUGGGUACGGGCAGGCUAGAGUGCGGUAGGGGAGAUGGGAAUUCCUGGUGUAGCGGUGGAAUGCGCAGAUAUCAGGAGGAACACCAAUGGCGAAGGCACAUCUCUGGGCCGUAACUGACGCUGAGGAGCGAAAGCGUGGGGAGCGAACAGGAUUAGAUACCCUGGUAGUCCACGCCGUAAACGGUGGGUGCUAGCUGUGGGCCACAUUCCACGUGGUCCGUGACGAAGUUAACACAUUAAGCACCCCGCCUGGGGAGUACGG